UACGUAGGGGGCUAGCGUUGUCCUGAUUUAUUGGGCGUAAAGAGCGUGUAGGCGGCCAGGUAGGUCUGCUGUGAAAACUCGAGGCUCAACCUCGAGACGUCGGCGGAAACCAUCUGGCUAGAGUCCGGAAGAGGAGAGUGGAAUUCCUGGUGUAGCGGUGAAAUGCGCAGAUAUCAGGAAGAACACGCGUGGCGAAGGCGGCUCUCUGGGACGGUACUGACGCUGAGACGCGAAAGCGUGGGGAGAGAACAGG
rnacentral:rRNA from 1 species